GAAAGUCAGUAAAGACACAGAGGCAGCGCGGGCAGGGACAAUGUGGCUGAUUCAUGUGUCGUGGCCCACCGUAGCCGUAACUUCAGGUUCUGGUUUCCUAGGAUCUUUCUGAGGAGUAAGUUUGAGAGGGAGAGAGAAAGAAAGACUUUUCCAGGCAUUUACAGUACUUUUCAUUCAGAAAGACCUCUGGUCCCGCUCAGGCAUCAGGACCUGUGUACAGCUGCUACCUCUAUACCCCUGAUAAAUACUGAUAGGAUGGGCUUCAAUUACAUUGGUCCCAGUGUUUGUGCCUGAGAUAGAGCACUUGUCUGAGAUUGUGAGCCUCAUUAGGGACAGAAACAUAUAUGAACGAUGGAAAUCAUUGUACAGUACUGCAGAAUAUGUUGGCAAUUUGUGAGCAACAGUGAAUAAAUCAAAUCUAUAAAUUGUAUGAAAUGUAUAGGUCACUGCUUCCUGCAAGAUCAUUAUAUUCCUCUCCUGCUGCUGUCAUUAAUUUCAUGAUCUUCUUUCCAUCUCAUAAUCCAGUAAAGAACAAUAUUAGUACCAUACGUAAGAGCCAUAGAAUUCCCCAAUGUUCUACCCCAGUUCCACAUUAUUGGAAUUUCACUGUUGUAAAAUGCAAGACAAGACCAUCAAGACACUCAUCACACAUAACUCAAUAUGGUCGAGUAACUGUCUAGCGUAUGCCAAAGUUUUUAUGGUAGACGUUGACAUCUUUUUUAUUGCUGACAUGUUUCUGUAGCUCAACUGCCAGUCGUCAACCCUGAAAACAAGUCAUCAUGACGAGGUUUAUUUGUGACCAGACUUGAGUGACAUCCAUUGGAUCUGGAGACCAAAGAGCGGCUUAUUUUAGAACAUCAUCACUGCUGACGCCUGAAAUAUUCAUUAAAGAGAGCCUGGUUAAUAAGUAGAGCAGCAUAGUCCCAAU